rnacentral:lncRNA from 10 species
GUUCAAAUGGGUUGCUUUACUCACUCUCCUAGAUAACAGCCCAUUUGUCAACAUCUUUGGCGGUUUAAGCCGUUCUUUGUCAAAACCACUUUUGGAAAAGAUUUGACCAUUUAUUUACAUGGGAGCCAACGUGACGGCAGCAGGUGCGUCAUGGAAAACUCGGACGUGGGUGCUGCAAAGCCGCUGGGAUUCGGUCACGUGACAGCCCGCCUGCUGCCCGGCCAGCGGGCCAAAUGGCCACACGGGAAGGAGGGACAGAGGAGAAAAUAGUAGGCAAAGUGUUGGCGUGAGGCAGGUGGUGGAUGAGGCAGUCGCAAAGAGAAAGGAUUGCAACAUCAGGGAGGAGAUGAAAGGCCUCAUAUCAUUUUGCAGCCAACAAGAAACCUGAAGGAACUAAGUUUGGCUCUAUUUCUACAGCUUGUGAAAAGCUGAGAAUGGAAGCAAUGACUGGGCUAAUUCUGGACAAAAUUUUUUAAAAUGAUUUUUGUCAGAGGAGCCCAGAUCUUUGCCUCAAUUCUUUGCUUUUGUCUAAAUUGCUCAUUUUUCCAAAUUUCUGUAAGUAAUUUUUUAGGUGAUGUGAAUUGAUUUGCCUUUGGUAUACCGGACAAGAUUUUAUUUUAUUUUAUUAUUUUAUUUUUGAGACGGAGUUUCGCUCUUGUUGCCCAGACUGGAGUGCAGUGGUGUGAUCUCAACUCACUACAACCUCUGCCUCCCGGGUUCAAGCGAUUCUCCUGCCUCAGCCUCCUGAGUAGCCGGGAUUACAGGUGCCCGCCACCACACCGAGCUAAUUUUUGUAUUUUUAGUAGAGAUGGGGUUUCACCACGUUGGCCAGGCUGGUCUCAAACUCCUGACCUCAGGUGAUCCAUCUGCCUCAGCCUCCCAAAGUGCUGGGAUUACAGGUGUUAGCCACCGUGCCCAGCCUGGACAAGAUUAUUUGAGACAUCUCUGGUGGCCUAAAUCGUGAAGGGUUUGCCCCCUGUUUCCUUUUGUCCACUUUCCUCAUAGUGCCAUUUUGUUUUGUGCCUUCACUCAGCCUGAACUGGCUGGUGAAAGUGGCACAGCCAACUGUUGCCAGACAGUGAUGUCCUGUCAAAUUCCUGUACCUGCAUGGGUACGUUCUCAUGUUCUCUGAAAUAUUAUUCCUUUCCCUUAACAGAGCUCACCAGACAAGAAACAGAAAAGUGUUUUGAGUACUUUGAAUCAAAAGUGGUCUCUGAAUUUAAGGCAUUUUUAUUAUUUUAUGUGUUAUUUGUAGUUCAAAAGGGUCUUCCUAUUCAUCAUAGUAUUAGAGGCAUUUGAUGGAAAAGUAGUGUGCCAAGGUGAUUAGUGACAACAACAACAAAAGCAACUUAUUUUUGAGCCUGUGAAAGGCCCUCUUCUAGACACUUUAUACAACAGCUGUAUCCUUAUUGAUAGCCCUGCAAGAAAAGCUAUUUUCCAAGAAGAAAAAGAAAAUGGAAGUACAAAUUUCCAACAGCACACAUUUUCUCUGCUCUCUCCUUGGCUCUGAAAGAGGAUGCGUGAAACAGAAUUUCAGGCUGUAAUUAAUGCAGCUCUUCAUAAGAUAAGAGGUUCUUUUAUCUACAGAAAAAUUGCUGCACUAAUUCCCAACAAGAAGUGCAAUGCUCCGGUUAAUGCUCUUUCUACAAGAAGAAUUCACCUUUUCUACCCUCUACAUAUUUACAGACAAAUUUGAAUAUUUUGUUAUGGGAAACUGAAGAUGGGUAAACAUACAAUGAUAAUAGUACUUUAUAGGGCUAAAUCUAAAAGCCUUAAAGAUUAAUAUUAUGUUUGGAUAAAUGCUGAAUAAGUUUACAUAAAGAAUUUUCAAAUAACAUUGACGCUACAGGCAUGUACUUGUAAGCACAGACCUUAAUUGGGCACAACUUAGAUCCAGCACUCUUUGAGGGGGAGAAUAAACAAAUUGGGAAAUGCAUCCUCAUUUGAUACAGUGAGGAAAAAGAGCUAUGGUUCCUUGCUCUGCUUUAAAGUACUGUCCAAAGAAGGAUGAAGCCCCGCUAUUUCAUUUUGAUUUAAAUAUUUCCUUGUAGAAUGCACAUUCCAAUUUGGAAACAAUACUUUCUAUAUGUAUGUUUCAUGUAUGUGCUUGGAAUAAUUGGUAAUGUGUUGGCACUGUGUUCCACUUAAAUGCAUGGCAUUUGUAUACUAUUUAAUGUUUUGUUGUUGUUGUUGUUUUUGAGAUGGAGUCUCAGUCUGUUGCCCAGGCUGGAGUGCAAUGGUGUGAUCUAGGCUCACUGCAACCUCUGCCUCCCGGGUUCAAGCAAUUCUCCUGCCUCAGCCUCCUGAGUAACUGGGAUUACAGGCGCCUGCCACCACGCCUGGCUAAUUUUUUUUUUUUUUUUUUUUUUUUUUUUUUUUUUUUUUUUUAGUAGAGAUGGGGUUUCUCCAUGUUGGCCAGACUGGUCUUGAACUCCUGAACUCAGGUGAUCCACACACCUUGGCCUCCCAAAGUGCUGGGAUUACAGGCGUGAGCCACUGCACCGGCCUUUUAAUGUUUUCUUAAAAACCAGUUUUCUAAGAAAAAAAGAAGAAUGGGAAUACAGCAAAUGAGUAGAAGACAGAGAUCACAAGAAUCGUGCCUGAGGUCCUGGCAAAGAAGACCCCACUAUCUCAGCUCAAGAAGUCAGAACCCAUAGGUGAAAUUGUAGGGAUAACACCAGCUCAGUGUAAAGAAUUUCCAACAUAAACAGCUACUGCAUAACAGAAUGAACUGCCAUGGAAGAAUACAACAUCCAGUCAAGGCAUGUAGUCAAGGAAGAGCAGAUAACCAUCUGCAAGAGGAUUUCAACACUGGACCAGACAGUCCUAUAGUAAGUUGAAGUCUAAGACCCUAUAAUUAUGUGAUAUUGGAGAUUUAAUGUUUACAAUAUUAUUGUCAUUCCAUCUGGUUCCUGGUACUAAGUCUUUGUUUUUUGUUUUGUUUGUUUGUUUUUCUUUUGGAAACAGGGUCUCGCUCUGUCACCCAGGCUGAAGUGCAGUGGCAUGAUCUUGGCUCACUGCAGCCUCAACCUCCCAGGCUCAAGCAAUCCUCCCACAUCAGCCCCCCAAGUAGCUGGGACUACAUCCAUAUGCCACCAUGCCUGUUUAAUUUUUGUAUUUUUUGUAGAGAUGUGGUUUCACCAUGUUGCCCAGGCUGGUCGCGAACUUCUGAGCUCAGGCAAUCCACUCACCUUGGCCUCCCAAAGUGCUGGGAUUAUAGGCAUGAGCCACUGUGCCUGGCCUGUGGUACUAAGUCUUCCCUGACAUUUUGUCAGUAAAGGUCAAAGUCACUGGAAAUGGUCACUGCACCUAACCUAAGUGUCAGUUUCCUGAUCUAUAGAGUAGAGGAUUUGAUGAAUUUAUCUCUAGAAUUCUGUCUACUUCUAGUCAGAUUCUUCACUGACAUGAAGUCACCACUGUGUAUCUACCUUACUAACCUUUUUUGGUUAACAUGUGGGAAAUUUAAUAAAUUCCUGACAUUUUUCAACAACAUUUAUAACCUUUGGGGAUCAGUUCAUUUUCACCAAUUCAAUUUUAGUCAUCUUGAUUGCUUUUGUCAGAGGGGAAAAAUAAUGUCACAUAAUUAAAAUAAUAAAUAACCUCCC